AGCAGCCGCGGUAAUUCCAGCUCCAAUAGCGUAUAUUAAAGUUGCUGCAGUUAAAAAGCUCGUAGUUGAAUUUCGGGACCAAUAUGUCGGUCGUGCCUCGGUACGUACUGGCAUCGUUGGUUUCUCCCUUCUGACGAACCAUGAUGUCAUUUAUUUGGUGUCGUGGGGAAUCAGGACUGUUACUUUGAAAAAAUUAGAGUGUUUAAAGCAGGCUCACGCUUGAAUACAUUAGCAUGGAAUAAUGAAAUAGGACGUUUGAUUCUAUUUUGUUGGUUUCUAGGAUCGACGUAAUGAUUAAUAGGGAUAGUUGGGGCAUUAGUAUUCAAUUGUCAGAGGUGAAAUUCUUGGAUUUAUUGAAGACUAACUACUGCGAAAGCAUUUGCCAAGGAUGUUUUCAUUAAUCAAGAACGAAAGUUAGGGGAUCGAAGACGAUCAGAUACCGUCGUAGUCUUAACAUAAACUAUGUCCGACUAGGGAUCGGAUGAUGUUAAUUUUUAUGACUCAUCGGCGUACC
rnacentral:rRNA from 1 species